AGAACCUAUCUUGCCAAUGUUCAAUAUCAGCCACUCUGAAUGAUAUGCUUAUUCCUGUCCCUGCUUUAACAUAGAGUGCAUCAGCUCCACUCUUCUUCAGGCAUGUUACAUCAUCACUCUCCUGUCUGUCCCGAUCAGGAGUGCAGCCAUGGACGCCCUUCCUUCUAGCCAUCGAGAGAUUUAGCAAACAGGCGUUCACGCAAUGGGUGCAGGACGUUUUUGUGAGGUCUCUCUCAAUGGUUGGAAGGAGGCCUGCUCGGAGUAUGUGGUUGUGCCGGAGAAACGAGGGUUGUGGAUAAAACCCACCACUGCCCACCAUGAAAGCUUGAAUUGCGCACUAGUGGGCAGUAGGGACCAGGUUGACUUCCACUGGUGUAGACUCCAGAGGGCCCUCCGUGCAAUGAAAUGGACAGUUCAAGUGUGCAUGGGUCACUCUUGUGUGUCAGUGAGUGUAUAUGGGUCAUUGCGUGUGUCAGUAUGUUUGCACGAUUUCACUGUGUGUAGCAGUGUGUUUGCUCUUUUUUUUUUUGUGUGUCAGGGAGUGUUGAAGCGAUACACUACAACUUUAUCUUUUAACAAAAAUAAUUUCUUAAAAGUGCAUUAAGAUUUUCAACCUUGAAAAUAAAGUGCAUUACACAGUAUAAUUUUAUUUAUUUGGGUACAAGCAACGUGCCAAUACACACAGAGCAUUUGACGUGUAACCAAAACGCCCCCAAAAUUUUUUUACCCCACACAAAGCAUUAAUCAAGUAGCAAUAUAAAUUUCACCAAUAAAGUGC